rnacentral:snRNA from 1 species
AUCACUUCUUGGCCUUUUGUCUAAGAUCAAGUGUAGUAUCUGUUCUUAUCAGUUUAAUAUCUGAUACAUCCUCUUCCAAGGACAGUAUAUUCAUGGAUUUUUUGGAGCAAGGAGAUGGAAUAGGUGCCUGCUUUGUCCACUCCAUGCAUCAAUCUGGUAUUGUAGUACUUCCAGGAACAGUGCACCCUUU